rnacentral:tRNA from 1 species
GCGGAGAUGGCGGAGCGGUCCAACGCACCAGCCUUGAGAGCUGGCGUGCCUUGUGCACACGGGGGUUCGAAUCCCUCUCUCCGCG